GGAGAGAUGAGGGAGGAGCUUACUGAUGGAGCAGAGGUGUUAAAAAGAACAUCUUUUCUCUAAUUGGUAGGACAGAUUUCUUUUAUGAUUCCUACAGCAGAAAAAUGAGAAACAUUUGGAUUACUUCUUCUCUCUGUGUGUAUGUGUAUGUGUGUGUGUUUAAGGUUUGAAUCCUUGGUGAACCAGGGCAGAAAAGAAUGAUGAAAUCCUUGAGAAUUUUACUGGUGAUCCUGUGGCUUCAGUUAAGCUGGGUUUGGAGCCAACAGAAGGAGGUGGAGCAGAAUCCUGGACCCCUCAGUGUUCCAGAGGGAGCCACUGCCUCUCUCAACUGCACUUACAGCAACAGUGCUUUUCAAUACUUCAUGUGGUACAGACAGUAUUCCAGAAAAGGCCCUCAGUUGCUGAUUUACAUAUACUCCAGUGGUAACAAAGAAGAUGGAAGGUUUACAGCACUGGUCGAUAAAUCCAGCAAGUAUAUUUCCUUGUUCAUCAGAGACUCACAGCCCAGUGAUUCAGCCACCUACUUCUGUGCAAUGAGCGCACAGUGCUCCCCAGACACCUGCAGUCUGUACCCAAACCUGCUGGACCCCAGGAAUGCCUGAUGUAGAGCUUAGAUUUCAAGGCAAUGAAGUUCUGUUUGCUCUCUGGAUGCAAACGAAAACCAAGAGCAAUAGUAUUGAAGGUUUGAUUAAUUUGGGAAAUAUUUUCGUAAUUCUGAAAAUAAUUGAGACCCCAAAGGAAAGUAAAAGACACCA